ACACGUCCAAGACGUUCGGUUGGUACGU
rnacentral:sRNA from 1 species